rnacentral:lncRNA from 1 species
UGAGUCCAUGUGGCCGAUCGAAGCCAGAAACGCAGCCAUCGCUAAUCACUGCUUCACCUGUGCCCUCAACCGUGUGGGUCAGGAACACUACCCCAAUGAGUUUACUUCUGGAGAUGGAAAGAAAGGUAUGGACUUUCCUGUUGGUGGGCCUCAUCGUCCCCCAUUCUACCUACUUCCUCUGGGCAGGGUCUCCUCCACAGCCUGGUCCCUCUCCUUGGGCACCAAGGAAGGAGCCCUGACUCUUCCGUUUCUUUGCAUGUACUGUGGGAGUCUGUGGCUGGGGUGUGGAUCCUUCAUGGGGGACCACCUUGUUCCCUAAAUGGGCAUCAGAUGGGAAUGGACUGGUCUCUCUGCCUCCUCAGGACUAUAUGAAACUGGACCAUGAAGAUGUGGGAACCCCUCUGUGAGCUCUCUGGAAGAGGCAGGGGAACUCACACAUCUUAUUUCUUCCUUCCCCACCUAUCUAGCUGUCCUGAUGAUGUCCCCAGAGUCAGCACAGAUUGUCAUAGGUCCUGGGGUCCUCAGGUGGUUGUGAUCUGAAGGCAGCAACACACACACACACACACACACACGCACGCACGCACGCACACACACACACACACACACACACACACACACACCUCUGCUAGAAGUCCUCCACUCCGAGGUCCCACCUCUCUAGCCAAGAACGUGAGAGGAAAGAGCUUCUUCGCUCACAAGGCUGUCCCUGGCUGGGUGAGUCCCCCUCAGGAAGAUCUAGGAGGAUGAACAGAUCCCACUCUCUGAAGUCCCAGAUGGCACCUCACACUUGCAGAGCUUCCAGUCCCACAGGCCUUCUGAUGACAGACGGACAGGCGUGGGAAAGGCGGUGGUGAGCCCAUCUUAGAGGGGCCACCUCACUCCGCUGUGGUAGCUGGUCAAGGGCUCAGGCACGCAGAAGAGCGUUAAGUCUAUCAGCUCCAGGAAAAGAAGGACGGACCGUACGGUUCACGGGCAGACCUACCACAGGAAGUGGGACACAUGGACCAUCCCCAGAGGCAGACUCUCCUUGGGUUUGGGCAGCUUCUGUUGAAGAUGAAAGGCUAGCCCACCUAAAGCGUGCCAUCUAGACACGUUCUCAGGGGCAGCGGGGAGUGACUGACGUGAAAGCGAAGUUCUGCCUCCCUGCCUAGGACCUUCAGGCCUGAGGGAGGCAGACUGGAAGUUGGCAGACAUGGGGUUGGUAACGAAUGCUUUCUCCCACGUGUCCUGCCCCGUGCCUGUCCGCCUUUCUUCGGAGCCCACCCUGUGUACAACCUCACAGCUACUUCCCUUCGCUCCUUAAAGCUCACCAUGACCUCGGCUACUUCUACGGUUCGAGCUACGUGGCAGCUCCUGACGGUAGCCGGA